rnacentral:rRNA from 1 species
UACGUAGGGAGCAAGCGUUGUCCGGAAUCAUUGGGCGUAAAGCGCGCGUAGGCGGCCCUGUAAGUCCGUUGUGAAAGUCAAAGGCUCAACCUUUGAAAGCCGAUGGAUACUGCAGGGCUAGAGUACGGAAGAGGCGAGUGGAAUUCCUGGUGUAGCGGUGGAAUGCGCAGAUAUCAGGAGGAACACCAAUAGCGAAGGCAGCUCGCUGGGACGUUACUGACACUAAGGCGCGAAAGCGUGGGGAGCGAACAGG